AGCAGGGUGGAGCAGCUCGGUAGCUCGUCGGGCUCAUAACCCGAAGGCCGCGGGUUCAAAUCCCGCCCCUGCCA
rnacentral:tRNA from 1 species